AGCUCCAAUAGCGUAUAUUAAAGUUGCUGUAGUUAAAAAGCUCGUAGUUGGAUAUCUGGUGAGAGUUUUCUAUUUGAUACAUUGUAUGAAAUUAGUACUGUCUCUGACCAUACUUGGAAGGAACUAAUCUGGCAUUAAGUUGUCAGAGUGGAGACUACCACAAUUUACUGUGAAAAAAUUAGAGUGUUCAAAGCAGGCUUUAGUUAUUGAAUAUAUUAGCAUGGAAUAAUAAGAUAUGACUUUGGUUCUAUUUUGUUGGUUUACGUGCCAUGGUAAUGAUUAACAGGGGCAGUUGUGGGUAUUUGUAUUCCAGUGUCAGAGGUGAAAUUCUUGGAUUUCUGGAAGACAAACUACUGCAAAAGCAUUUACCAAGGAUGUUUUCA
rnacentral:rRNA from 1 species